rnacentral:rRNA from 1 species
GACGAACGCUGGCGGCGUGCUUAACACAUGCAAGUCGAACGGCAAGGCCCUGCUUUUGUGGGGUGCUCGAGUGGCGAACGGGUGAGUAACACGUGAGUAACCUGCCCUUGACUUUGGGAUAACUUCAGGAAACUGGGGCUACUACCGGAUAGGAGCUCCUGCUGCAUGGUGGGGGUUGGAACGUUUCGGCGGGUGGGGAUGGACUCGCGGCUUAUCAGCUUGUUGGUGGGGUAGUGGCUUACCAAGGCUUUGACGGGUAGCCGGCCUGAGAGGGGGACCGGCCACAUUGGGACUGAGAGACGGACCAGACUCGUACGGUAGGCAGUAGUGGGGAAUAUGGUACAAUGGGCGGAAGUCUGAUGCAGAGACGCUGCGUUCGGGAAGACGGCCUUUGGGUUGUAAACCGCUUUCGCCUGUGACGAAGCGUGAGUGACGGUAAUGGGUAAAGAAGCACCGGCUAACUACGUG